rnacentral:rRNA from 1 species
AUUGAACGCUGGCGGCAGGCUUAACACAUGCAAGUCGAACGAGUGGCGGACGGGUGAGUAAUGCUUGGGAAUCUGGCUUAUGGAGGGGGAUAACUACGGGAAACUGUAGCUAAUACCGCGUACCAUAGGAUGAGCCCAAGUGGGAUUAGGUAGUUGGUGAGGUAAAGUCUCACCAAGCCGACGAUCUCUAGCUGGUCUGAGAGGAUGACCAGCCACACUGGGACUGAGACACGGCCCAGACGCCUACGGGAGGCAGCAGUGGGGAAUAUUGCGCAAUGGGGGCAACCUGACGCAGCCAUGCCGCGUGAAUGAAGAAGGUCUUCGGAUUGUAAAGCACUUUAAGUUGGGAGGCGUUACCAACAGAAUAAGCACCGGCUAACUUCGUGCCAGCAGCCGCGGUAAUAC